rnacentral:rRNA from 1 species
UUCCAGACUCCUACGGGAGGCAGCAGUGAGGAAUAUUGGUCAAUGGCCGGAAGGCUGAACCAGCCAAGUCGCGUGAGGGAAUAAGGCCCUAUGGGUCGUAAACCUCUUUUGUCAGGGAGCAAAGGCGUCCACGUGUGGACGAGAGGAGAGUACCUGAAGAAAAAGCAUCGGCUAACUCCGUGCCAGCAGCCGCGGUAAUACGGAGGAUGCGAGCGUUAUCCGGAUUUAUUGGGUUUAAAGGGUGCGUAGGCGGAGUGUCAAGUCAGCGGUAAAAUUUCGGGGCUCAACCCCGUCGUGCCGUUGAAACUGCCGGGCUAGAGUGGGCGAGAAGUGCGCGGAAUGCGUGGUGUAGCGGUGAAAUGCAUAGAUAUCACGCAGAACUCCGAUUGCGAAGGCAGCGCACCGGCGCCCUACUGACGCUCAGGCACGAAAGCGUGGGUAUCGAACAGGAUUAGAUACCCCAGUAGU